GCAGCCCACCCCGGGCUCUCCCAGGGGCCCGCCCGCAGCCCUCCCCCGCGCGCCCGCAGCCCUCCCCCAGCUCUCCCAGGGACCCGCCCGCAGCCCUCCCCCGCGCGCCCGCACGCUCGCCGAGCUCUUCCAGGCCGGCGGCGCUGACGCUGGGGCCUGGGCGGAAAUGGCAGCGCUGGAAGGAGACGCGAGGGGCUCGUGGGCCUGGCAGGAGCCUUGCCAGGAAGAGUUAGGGCUAAUCAGUGACAAGAUGAGAGAGACAAACCCAAGAACAUCGCUCAGCUCUGCAGGCGCCCUGGUGGAAGAAGUCAGCGUGAGGAAUUACAGACAGGCCAGCCUGUCGUCCAGAAAGACUAUCUCUGAGAGAACCCGGACGGAGGUAACAAUAGUGUCUCAGUGUCUAUUUGGGAAGAAACCUGUGCUUCUCUGGCCAGCUUGGAAUUUGAGGGGGGAACUGAUCAGGUUGGGCAGACUGUAA
rnacentral:lncRNA from 1 species